CCCUUAGAUGUUCUGGGCAGCACGCGCGCUACAAUGGUCUUCGCAAACGGAUGCAUUCUCGAAGGAGAAUGCCAAUCUUGGAAUCUAUGCCUUGGUCGGGACAGUUGCUUGCAAUUUUUCGACUCGAACCAGGAAUUCCUUGUAAUCGUGAUUCAUCACAUCACGAUGAAUACGUCCCUGCCCUUUGUACACACCGCCCGUCGCUCCUACCGAUCGAAGAGUUAGGUGAAUUGUUUUGAUCGAUAAGAUUUGACUAUGGUCAACUCUCGUUGUGAAAUUCUGUGAAUCUGACUGUUUAGAAGAAGGAAAAGUCGUAACA
rnacentral:rRNA from 1 species